rnacentral:rRNA from 1 species
CGCGCAGGCGGUCCUUUAAGUCUGAUGUGAAAGCCCACGGCUCAACCGUGGAGGGUCAUUGGAAACUGGGGGACUUGAGUACAGAAGAGAAGAGUGGAAUUCCACGUGUAGCGGUGAAAUGCGUAGAGAUGUGGAGGAACACCAGUGGCGAAGGCGACUCUUUGGUCUGUAACUGACGCUGAGGCGCGAAAGCGUGGGAGCAAACA